rnacentral:misc_RNA from 1 species
CCUUAAACCCUUAGCCUGCCCACAAAAAUUGCAGCUUCAGCUUCAACUCAACCUUGGCUUCUCUUCCCUCAUCUCAUUAGGCGCUGCUUUACAUUUCAGUUUGCUUAAAUAUGUUGCUCUCGUUAUUUAAUUGAUUUUUCAAUCCAGCAUUACCCUUUACCUUUUCGAAGUUCUCUGUUUUAUCAUCUUCUUGGGAAAUCAAUAAAAGAUGAAUCCAAUUUUCUCAAUUUUAUGAUUUGUGUUGUUAAGUUAUUUUGUUAUUCGAACAACCCACUUACUUGGUUUGUGCAUUGAUGAUCUAUCCACAGAUUUACUUUGCACACUCUACAAUUUGCCGUUUCUUUGCUUGAGGUGAUCACAAAUGCUUCAGUCAACUCUGAACAAGUUGCAUCUCAGUCCGAAUACCCGAUAAUUUUAAACGCAGAUGAUAUUUUUCUCAAUUUGAAGCUACAGCUUGGAUCUACCCAUCCUGCAUCGCUUGCUAAUUCUGUUAUCGGGUGGCAACUCUCACAAACUGAUGUUCAUCUCGUUGAAUCAGGCAAGAAAUUCUAUACUAAGCUGAAAAGAAAGCUCAAGGACACUAAUAAUUUCAAUAAAGAUGAAUUUCUUGAAAUUUUGAAUAUGUUUCUUGAGAAAAUUGGGGAGAAUUUUGGGAUUUCAGUUGGGGUUGAUUCAUCAGAUAAUGGCUAUACUCAGGUAUUGAUUGAAAAGAUGGGCUUUUUGAUGGGUCGAGAAGUGGCAGGUUUUGGUUUUAGAAGCAUGUGUUAGGUUGGAGAUUUGGUAUUUGGUAGAGACUUCGAUUGUAAAAGGCAUUGUUGAUCAUUCAUGUUAUUCAAAUUUGAUAACAAGUCUUGUGGUUAAAAAGAGAUCUGAUUUGCUUGCUUUGAGUAUUAAACAUGCUCCAGAUCUUGGAUUGACCGAGUUGCUUUGCAUUUUGAAAUAUUUUCUGUGUCCAUCAAAAGAUGCCUAUAGUAGUUUGGUGAAUGUCAGGAAGGAAUGGGAGAGCGAGGCAUCAUUAGGUAUUGAGAAGGUGAAAGACAAGAAACUCUCAGACGAGAAAUCACGCAUAGCCAAGGAGGCUUCAAUUUUGCUUAUGCUUGCCCAUGAUGGUUUUUCAACAUCUGAGAUUUGUUUGCAUUAUUUGCUGUCAUCAUCAAAUGUUGAUGAAGUUAUAUUAUUAUCUUCAAUAGGUAGAUUGAAUGGUAAAGAAAUGAUGAACUUAAUUAGGUAUCUGGGGAAAUGGUUAAAGAAAAUAUGAAAUGUUUCCUCAGGCAGGUCCAUGUCCUAAGGCUUCAUCUGCGCUGGGCUUGAAAGCUUGUGAUUGGGUUCCUAAACUUGAAGAUAUUGUUAAAUGUCUUGGGUUGGUGCUGGAUGAAAACUUCUCUUCCCUAGUGUUGCAUCCAGAAUUUUAUGAAGAGCUGAAAUCAAUAGAGCGUUUGGUUGGUUCUCUAGCUUCAGAAGGCAAACUUUGUUGCGCUGUGGCAAACGUAAUCGAGAACUUGAAAACUGAAGCUGAAGGUGAACAGAGUUAGGAGCGAUCACUAAUGGUUUCUCUGAUCUAUAAUUUAUGUUUCAAUAUUUGGCCCAGUCUAUAAUCUUAUUGUAAUGCCACAUUCUAAUGUAAAUUUUAUUAUUUGCAUUCUAAUUCAAAAGUCUCUACACUUGCAUAUUAAGAUUUAGAUAUAUCGGCUUCCAUACCCUGUGUUUGCCAAUUCUGUGUAUAAGAAAUUCAGUAUUAAAAUACAUUGAUCUAUGGUUUCUACCCAGUAGAAUUAGUAAAAAAAUAAGAAAAACAUGGAUAAAAUUAAUAGAAAUGUUCUUAAUUACAAAUAAUUAUUUAUCAGAAAGUAAAUUUAUUUAUAAGUUGUAAUAAAUAAUAACAUCCAUUCAUAAUAAAAUUUAAAGUGAAACAAAUUAAAAGAUAGGUUGAUAAAUUAUAUUGCACUAGACUGAGUAAAUGUAAUUUAUUACGGCCCUUUCAGAUAAAUUAUUAUUUUUUUUUACUGUAAAUGUUUACAUGCACCUUCUUUUCACUAGUAGUCAAGUGCCCCUUUUGUCUUUGAGCUGCAUUGAACAAACAUUUACCCAUCAAAACAUAAUAAAAGAUUGAAAGUACCUUCUCUGUUACUCACUGAAACUUUAAUUUCUAAUCGACGAUACCUUGAAGAGAAAUAGACAGGAAACGAAAGCAAGGAAAGGAAGAGAAAAGGUACCAGAUUUAAGGUGUCGAGGAAUCAAAAUAAAACCUCCCAAUAAGACACCCAAAAUCAAUGCCACCACAGCUACAACCAUAGCUCAGAAAUCAGAUUCAGCUCCUUCUACUGCAUUAAAACCACACUCACCAAAGAAAAAUAAACAUCAAAUAAUAUAGUAUGCACAAUCCAUAAAGGAAAAUCAUUCAAAAAGAGAUUGAAAGGGAAAAAGACUAUUGUCAAUGUAGAAAAGAAAAUGAAAUUUGCUUCGCCUUUUGCCCAUUGCCCAGACCCAACAAUAAAGAAAACUAAAAAAGCAAACGGAAAUAAUGGAUGAAGAAAAUGCCAAUUGAACAGCUGAUUUCAUGCUUUUAAGAAGUGCACCUUCUUCAGUGUGAGAUAAAAUACUGCGUUUGGCAGCUGAGAAAACGCGAGAAAAGAGAGAGC